rnacentral:rRNA from 1 species
GACGAACGCUGGCGGCGUGCCUAAUACAUGCAAGUAGAACGCUGAAGGAGGAGCUUGCUUCUCCGGAUGAGUUGCGAACGGGUGAGUAACGCGUAGGUAACCUGCCUGGUAGCGGGGGAUAACUAUUGGAAACGAUAGCUAAUACCGCAUAAGAGUAGAUGUUGCAUGACAUUUGCUUAAAAGGUGCAAUUGCAUCACUACCAGAUGGACCUGCGUUGUAUUAGCUAGUUGGUGAGGUAACGGCUCACCAAGGCGACGAUACAUAGCCGACCUGAGAGGGUGAUCGGCCACACUGGGACUGAGACACGGCCCAGACUCCUACGGGAGGCAGCAGUAGGGAAUCUUCGGCAAUAGACGGAAGUCUGACCGAGCAACGCCGCGUGAGUGAAGAAGGUUUUCGGAUCGUAAAGCUCUGUUGUAAGAGAAGAACGAGUGUGAGAGUGGAAAGUUCACACUGUGACGGUAUCUUACCAGAAAGGGACGGCUAACUACGUG